rnacentral:rRNA from 1 species
CUCAGGAUGAACGCUGGCGGCGUGCUUAACACAUGCAAGUCGAACGUGAAGCCCGGUACCUAGUAUUGGGUGGAAAGUGGCGGACGGGUGCGUAACACGUUGGUGACCUGCCCCGAGGUGGGGGAUAACCGUGGGAAACCACGGCUAAUACCCCGGAUGCCAAAGUAUUUAGAAAGCUUUGGCUAAAGCUCCGGCGCCUCGGGAGGGGCCUGCGGGCUAUCAGCUUGUUGGUGGGGUAAUGGCCUACCAAGGCAAAGACGGCUAGGGGGCGUGAGAGCGCGACCCCCCACAAUGGAACUGAGACACGGUCCAUGCUCCUACGGGAGGCAGCAGUGAGGAAUAUUGCGCAAUGGGGGCAACCCUGACGCAGCAACGCCGCGUGGAUGAUGAAGGCCUUCGGGUUGUAAAAUCCUUUUCCGGGGGAAGAAUCAUGACGGUACCUCGGGAAUAAGUCCCGGCUAACUACGUGCCAGCAGCCGCGGUAAAACGUAGGGGGCGAGCGUUAUCCGGAUUUACUGGGCGUAAAGCGCACGUAGGCGGCGCUGUAAGUUGGGCGUGAGAGCUCCCGGCUCAACUGGGAGAGGUCGUUCAAAACUGCAGUGCUUGAGGUUGGAAGAGGAGAGUGGAAUUCCCGGUGUAGUGGUGGAAUGCGUAGAUCUCGGGAGGAACACCAGUGGCGAAGGCGGCUCUCUGGUCCAACCCUGACGCUGAGGUGCGAAAGCGUGGGGAGCGAACGGGAUUAGAUACCCCGGUAGUCCACGCUGUAAACGAUGGAUACUAGGUGUGGGAGGUUACUUACCCCUUCCGUGCCGUAGCUAACGUGAUAAGUAUCCCGCCUGGGGAC